GGGACGCGCUGCGGGUCGCGUCACGCCGCACGCGCCCUCAACUGAUCGCGCGUGGGUUCUUAGGGAGCCCGACGUCCGGGCUCCCGCUGGGUGGGGCUUCCUGGGCGGAGGCAGUCCCUUCUGGGCGGCCCAGGAUCCCGGCCCAGUUGACCUGCUUAGCUGCAGUCUCCCGCCCUCAAUCCGAAAGGGCGGACGUGGGGCGGGGGGAGGGUGUCUGGAGGAAGCGCGCGCGGGACUAGGCCGUGGGGCUGAGGCGGUUCUUGGGCGGAGCCCCGCCCUAGUCUCCGCCCUUGACGGGCCGGACCCGCCCUCCGAGAGCCGCACGGCAGCCCGCCACGGGUAAGGCCGGGCGGGUCCCCUCUCACUCCCAAGUCCUCGGAAACAAUCCUUACCCCGCGAGCCAAGACAGGCAGGGCUGUCCUGGGGAUCUCUUUGCCCUACAAGAGGGCUUCCUAAUACUGGGUGUGAGAGAAGAGGGCUUUCUCCUGGUGUGCCCAGGCCACUUCGGCCGGGAGAGGCCAGCGGAAGGCCAGACUUAAUGCUUUUACACGAACGAUCGUACCAGUCUUUUGCCAAAAGGAUGUUCUCUAUUUGGCGCAGUGUAAUUGUGUAUUUGAAAAUGGCUUGCAGGAUCUUACAGGAUCGAACCCAGACCCACAGGAGUGAAAGCGCUGAGUCUUAACCACUGGACUGCCAGGAAAUUCCCUUGUUUGACUUAAAUCAGGGUGAAAUUCAUGAAAGAAUAUAAGGAAACUGGGAGGUUUGACCCUGGAUAGGAACAGGAUGCUUCCACUGUGGAAAUUAGAGUAACAAGGGUGAAGAUGGAUGCAGAUGCAGGGGAGAGAAAUGGGUCCAGUGCCUUAUAAAGAAGCUUCAUAGAAAUCCCAGCCCCUGCCACCACAUGAGGACACAGCCAGAAGGCACCAGCUGUGAACCAAGAAAAGGGCCUUCACCAGAAUGUGACCAUGUUGGUGCUUUGACCUCAGAUUUUCCAGCCUCCAGAACUGUGAACAGUAAACAUCUGCUGUUUAUAAGCGCCCAGUUGGUGGUAUUUUGUUAUAGCAGCCUGAACAGACUAAGACAACUACUGUAUUUACACUGUAUCAACUAUCAUUACAACUAUACGACCUCUGAGGAAUCAAUUAGAAACCAGAAUGAGGUCCAGGUGGCCUUGCAGCCUGCUCUCUGCUCUCUGAAGACAAAGAUCCCAUGUGCUGCUCGGACAUGGCUGAGAAAAUGCUGAGAAUCACUAGGAAGGAACAAAAGGAAAUGUUUUCUUCUUGCAGGAAACGGUGAUGUGUCCUACUUUGCGCAUGAAGUUGGCUCUAAAGAUCAAGGGACAGAAAGCCAGUCCAAAAGGAUAGUCUGUUUCAGGCCGGACAGAAACAGGCUGAGAAGAGGAAUAUGGUGAGAGCCUGCGGAACAGUUGGGAUGAUAAAAAUAAGGACAAGUUUGUUGCCUAUAGUACUAUCCCAGACUAUGUCACCCAGAGAGAACUGUAGUGAUUUAAAACCGCCCAGUGAUUUAAGAUGGAGAAGGCAAUGGCACCCCACUCCAGUACUCUUGCCUGGAAAAUCCCAUGGACAGAGGAGCCUGGUGGGCUACAGUCCAUGGGGUCGCUAAGAGUUGGACACGACUGAGCGACUUCACUUUCACUUUUCACUUUGAUGCAUUAGAGAAGAAAAUGGCAACCCACUCCAGUGUUUUUGCCUGGAGAAUCCCAGGGACGCUGGAGCCUGGUGGGCUGCCGCCUAUGGGGUAGCACAGAGUCAGACAUGACUGAAGCGACUUAGCAACAGCAGCAGCAGUAAUUUAAAAAGUGUUCUUCCCAUGGACUGUCUCAGGUUUAUUGUCCACAGGAGUUCAAGGCAUUAUCACCAGAAGGCUGUCAGCUUACCUCGUGGCAGUAGUGAAGUCACUAGGUUCUAAGACCUGGCCCUGAGCCUCCAGAAUGGAUUCCUUCCUUAGAGACUCAUCAGGUUCACAGGAGCUUGAUGCAUAAGCCAAGUGACAUUUUACUAACUGAGAGGUGGACUGGUGCUCACGUGCUGGCAAAAGCUCUGAAUACAUGAGGAAGGAGAGUAGGAGACUGGUGAGAAGGUAAGGUUGGAAGAGGGCAAAAGGAAAGGAGGUGGGGUGGGGGGAUCCAGUGCCCACUGACCCAAUAAACUGUAUCCUGGACUACCU
ensembl:lncRNA